rnacentral:rRNA from 1 species
GAUGAACGCUGGCGGCGUGCCUAAUACGUGCAAGUCGAGCGAACGGACGAGAAGCUUGCUUCUCUGAUGUUAGCGGCGGACGGGUGAGUAACACGUGGAUAACCUACCUAUAAGACUGGGAUAAUUUCGGGAAACCGGAGCUAAUACCGGAUAAUAUUUUGAACCGCAUGGUUCAAAAGUGAAAGACGGUCUUGCUGUCACUUAUAGAUGGAUCCGCGCUGCAUUAGCUAGUUGGUAAGGUAACGGCUUACCAAGGCAACGAUGCAUAGCCGACCUGAGAGGGUGAUCGGCCACACUGGAACUGAGACACGGUCCAGACUCCUACGGGAGGCAGCAGUAGGGAAUCUUCCGCAAUGGGCGAAAGCCUGACGGAGCAACGCCGCGUGAGUGAUGAAGGUCUUCGGAUCGUAAAACUCUGUUAUUAGGGAAGAACAUAUGUGUAAGUAACUGUGCACAUCUUGACGGUACCUAAUCAGAAAGCCACGGCUAACUACGUG